rnacentral:rRNA from 1 species
UACGAGAGGCCCAAACGUUAUUCGGAUUUACUGGGCUUAAAGAGUUCGUAGGCGGCGCAGAAAGUAGGGUGUGAAAGCCCUCGGCUCAACCGAGGAAUUGCGCCCUAAACUACUGUGCUUGAGGAACCUAGAGGUGAGCGGAACUGAUGGUGGAGCGGUGAAAUGCGUUGAUAUCAUCAGGAACACCGGAGGCGAAGGCGGCUCACUGGGGGUUAUCUGACGCUGAGGAACGAAAGCCAGGGGAGCGAACGGG